GAUGAACGCUAGCGGGAGGCCUAACACAUGCAAGCCGAGCGGUAGAGAUCUUUCGGGAUCUUGAGAGCGGCGUACGGGUGCGGAACACGUGUGCAACCUGCCUUUAUCUGGGGGAUAGCCUUUCGAAAGGAAGAUUAAUACCCCAUAAUAUAAGAAACGGCAUCGUUUUUUAUUGAAAACUCCGGUGGAUAGAGAUGGGCACGCGCAAGAUUAGAUAGUUGGUGAGGUAACGGCUCACCAAGUCUACGAUCUUUAGGGGGCCUGAGAGGGUGAUCCCCCACACUGGUACUGAGACACGGACCAGACUCCUACGGGAGGCAGCAGUGAGGAAUAUUGGACAAUGGGUGAGAGCCUGAUCCAGCCAUCCCGCGUGAAGGACGACGGCCCUAUGGGUUGUAAACUUCUUUUGUAUAGGGAUAAACCUACCCUCGUGAGGGUAGC
rnacentral:rRNA from 1 species